rnacentral:rRNA from 1 species
UACAGAGGGGGCAAGCGUUAUUCGGAAUUAUUGGGCGUAAAGGGCGCGUAGGCGGCCUGCUAAGUCGAACGUGAAAUCCCCGGGCUCAACCCGGGAACUGCGUCCGAUACUGACAGGCUUGAAUCCGGGAGAGGGAUGUGGAAUUCCAGGUGUAGCGGUGAAAUGCGUAGAUAUCUGGAGGAACACCGGUGGCGAAGGCGGCAUCCUGGACCGGUAUUGACGCUGAUGCGCGAAAGCCAGGGGAGCAAACGGG